rnacentral:rRNA from 1 species
CUCCUAUCUACUAUCUAGCGAAACCACAGCCAAGGGAACGGGCUUGGCAGAAUCAGCGGGGAAAGAAGACCCUGUUGAGCUUGACUCUAGUCUGGCUCUGUGAAGAGACAUGAGAGGCGUAGUAUAAGUGGGAGGCGCAAUGUCGAAAGUGAAAUACCACUACUUUCAUCGUUUCUUUACUUAUUCGGUGAGGCGGGGAGCGAGCGUUUCCAGCGCUCACGCUUCUAGCUCCAAGCCUGGGGACUCUGAUUUCCCCGGGCGACCCGCUCCGAAGACACUGUCAGGCGGGGAGUUUGACUGGGGCGGUACAUCUGUCAAAUGGUAACGCAGGUGUCCUAAGGCGAGCUCAGCGAGGACGGAAACCUCGCGUGGAGCAAAAGGGCAAAUGCUGGCUUGAUCUCGAUUUUCAGUACGAAUACGGACCGCGAAAGCGUGGCCUAUCGAUCCUUUUGACUUUAGGAGUUUUAAGCAAGAGGUGUCAGAAAAGUUACCACAGGGGA